rfam:Camelus ferus unplaced genomic scaffold scaffold171, whole genome shotgun sequence.
GGAAGGGUACAGCUCAAGUGGUAGAGCACAUGCUUGGCAUGCACGAGGCCCUGGGUUCAAUCCUCAGUACCUCCU